rnacentral:rRNA from 1 species
GACGGAGGAUGCAAGCGUUAUCCGGAAUGAUUGGGCGUAAAGCGUCCGCAGGUGGCAGUUCAAGUCUGCUGUCAAAGACCGGGGCUUAACUUCGGAAAGGCAGUGGAAACUGAACAGCUAGAGUAUGGUAGGGGCAGAGGGAAUUCCUGGCGUAGCGGUGAAAUGCGUAGAGAUCAGGAAGAACAUCGGUGGCGAAGGCGCUCUGCUGGACCAUAACUGACACUCAGGGACGAAAGCUAGGGGAGCGAAUGGG